rnacentral:tRNA from 1 species
GCCCGGGUGGUGGAAUUGGUAGACACGCAGGACUUAAAAUCCUGUGGCUAGUAAUAGUCGUACGGGUUCAAUUCCCGUCCCGGGUA